AGSUAAAACCUUUAAAUAGACUACCGGUACGGUAUUAAAUUCUUUCUUGCUGUAGCUCAAACUUAUGACGAUUUUUUUAAAGRCAAACAAAUUGACAACAAUAUCAUUGAGCUGUGGAUCAAAGAGGAGAUGGGUGCAUUUAGUGACACACAAAAAGGUUUAGAUCUGGAAUGGGAUGAAAUGUACAUUGACAUGUUGCUGUCUUUACAGAAGCAUGAGAGCAUUCUUAGUUACAACUUACUUCAAAAUGAAGACAGUACCGCUCUGAAAAAGAAGAU